GUGCCAGCAGCCGCGGUAAUACGUAGGUGGCAAGCGUUGUCCGGGAAUUAUUGGGCGUAAAGCGCGCGCAGGCGGUCUCUUAAGUCUGAUGUGAAAUCUCGCGGCUCAACCGCGAGCGGUCAUUGGAAACUGGGAGACUUGAGUGCAGAAGAGGAGAGUGGAAUUCCACGUGUAGCGGUGAAAUGCGUAGAUAUAUGGAGGAACACCAGUGGCGAAGGCGACUCUCUGGUCUGUAACUGACGCUGAGGCGCGAAAGCGUGGGGAGCAAACAGGAUUAGAUACCCUGGUAGUCC
rnacentral:rRNA from 1 species